AAUAAGUUAAAGAAAAGCAUGGAAAGGAAGAGAAUAGGUUAAUUAUUUAUACAAUUUAAUCAAAUGUCAAUGUAGCAGCUUUUAUAGCAGCUACCUGUGUGUUAGGCUCAAACUUCAUGCUUCCAAAUCCUCUUCAAUCUGAUAAGCAUAGUCUUCUAUAUUUAAGACACAAAGCAUCCUACUCCAUUGCCAAGAAAUCCAUGACUCUUGCCAAUAUCUUUCUAUGGUGAACCUUCUAGAAAAAUAAAAUCUAGUAAAUUCUGUGCCUUAUUUGCUACACAACUAUAUUUAACAUUUUCUCAGGGACAAGAUAGUAUCCAAGAUGAUGACUGAGCAAAGAUAACUAUUAUACAUGGUAGUGCUGUGUGCUAGAGUGGGUUUUGAAUAUGAUGGCACAGUUGACUUUAGCUCUAUUAAAGUUGAAAAAAGUCAAUAUUUACCAUGUCUAAAAGAACUCUCCUAAAUUUAAAAAGCUGAAUAUCCAAUGAAAUAGGAUAACCAAUAUGAACAUGUUUUAAUAACUAGUAAAACUCGCUGACCAAAGGAUUCUUUCAAAUUAAUAAAUACACUAAGAUCCCCAACAGGGUGAACGUGAAGAAAAGAACAUAGAUAAUCUGUUCACAGAAUAGGUAAACACAAAUAAAUAACCAAUAAAUGUAGAGAAGGAUGCUUUGCCUAUACAAACAAUUCCAUACAUAAAAAUUUACGCAAUUACAAGAUCUACCAGGUUUCAUGGUUUGCCCAGGAAAUUAGGUGAAAAGUAACAGGGGCCUACUCUAAACUCUAAAAAAAAGUGUGUUGAGACAGGCAUGCCCCUAUGCUAACAACAUACACUGACACAUUUUUCUGGAAAGAAAUUUGAAAAUGUAUGUCAACUGACUUAUAAAAUAUGGAUGUCAUUAAUCCAAUGUUUCUAUUUACAGAUACAACUUCUACAGAAAUAAACAGAGCAAUUUACCCUUAUUCUUUUUCAACCCAUAAGAGGAUCUGUGUAUUCUACAUUCUUCAAGACCUGGAAGCUUAUCUAUACAUAUAGAUAAGAUCUCAUAAAGCGUAAGGCGGUGUAACCUAAGGUGCUGGAGGAAGGAAUCAGUAGAUGCCUUAGAAUGGCCCCUUUCAUCCUGAUCACAAGGCGUGGGACAUUAACAUGGACCUAUGCUCUUCUCCAGCAGCUGGACCCAGGGUAACUUCUGAGAAAUGCUGACCUCUGCACUGACUUUAUGCAGAGAUGAAAGAAAUGUGUGUGUGUCUUAAAAGCAGUGAUUAAAGAUUUGUCGGACUUUC